AUUGAACGCUGGCGGCAUGCCUUACACAUGCAAGUCGAACGGUAACAGGUCUUCGGAUGCUGACGAGUGGCGAACGGGUGAGUAAUACAUCGGAACGUGCCUAGUAGUGGGGGAUAACUACUCGAAAGAGUGGCUAAUACCGCAUGAGAUCUACGGAUGAAAGCAGGGGAUCGCAAGACCUUGUGCUACUAGAGCGGCCGAUGGCAGAUUAGGUAGUUGGUGGGAUAAAAGCUUACCAAGCCGACGAUCUGUAGCUGGUCUGAGAGGACGAUCAGCCACACUGGGACAGAGACACGGGCCAGACUCCUACGGGAGGCAGGAGUGGGGAAUUUUGGACAAUGGGCGCAAGCCUGAUCCAGCGAUGGCGCGUGCAGGAUGAAGGCCUUCGGGUUGUAAACUGCUUUUGUACGGAACGAAAAGCCCUGGGUUAAUACCCUGGGGUCAUGACGGUACCGUAAGAAUAAGCACCGGCUAACUACGUGCCAGCCGCCGCCGUAAGAC
rnacentral:rRNA from 1 species